rnacentral:lncRNA from 1 species
UUAUCAUCCACAUUGCUGACCUGGAAGAUGCAUCAUUGUCUAUGAUAUCUGCAAUGGAAAUGAUCACUAGGCAAUUUCAGCCUUGCAAAUCUAACCCUUUGGAAUGAGUACACAUCCAGGAGUGAAGAAGACAAGCUCAACUGCCAUUCUCUGAGCAGUUCAAGGCAUACUGAGGUGCGGGAGUUGUGUGGUGGUCCACUCUGACUGCAAGCACCCCUUUCUUGAACCGAACAGAGUCAAGUGGAAUCAAAGGACAUUACCUGUUGAUUCUUGGGCAAGGCCCAGAAUUUGGUGGACAUACUUAAAGAAGAAAGGAAUCUUCAGCUAAAGUGUCUACGAUCAAUUCAGAUUUGGAGGGCAUGGAUCUUCUGACAGUAGGGGCCUUUCUAGGAUUUUUUGGUUGAAGAGAUGAACUUCAACUUGGUUCCAGAUUGGUGGUCCAGCUAUUCUGCUGGCAACAUUUUUCAGGGCAAGGCUUUUGCUACUGGAAUGAUUUAAGGAAGAUCCCUCAGUGUUUCAGAGUAAAGAUAUUUCUAAAGAAGUACCUGUGUCAUUGCCCAUCUUGAAGAUUGACUUUUAUGGAUUGCUCAAAUACUGAUAUCGGCUCAAUGUCAAUAUAUACUCCUACAUACAAAAUCCAUCUUCUAAUCAUAAUCACUAGGUUUUAACCAUUUAAGGCCAUGAGGUGUGAGGUCUUUUGAGAGUGAAAGAACUCAUAUUAAUCCAGCUCCUGACUCCUAAAAAAACAGUAACUCUUGUAAUUAAAAUGGGCAGAGUCCAUCAAGAAGCAGUGUCCAGAAGCACUGGGCCAUGUGGCGGGCAGCAGUGUCACCAGGAAACAUGCUGAGCUGGGUCAGGAACUGCGCAAGGAGGAGGAGACACUGCUCCUGUUGAAGGCAGCCCUCGCAUGACCUGCUGAAUCACAUCAAGGUUGAAGCAUUGGCCCUCCAAUCAAUGAUUAGUUCUAGGAGAGGGGAUGAGGUGCUGUCUUCUCCAACUUCUCCAACUGUGCCUGAACAGUCACACGUCAUGUCAGUGCAUAUAGAGAAUGAAGCAUCAGUCAACCAAACUACGCUGGAGUGGAGCAUAGAGUCCUGUGACAGAAGAAGAGGAGGAAGAGAAAGAAGAAUCAGAUCCCUAAAGGAGGGAAAAAGCCAGGAUUCGUUAUACAAAUUAAAUUUCUAAGUCUCAGGCUCUUUCUCCCCAAGGAAAUCAUCUUGCCAUGAGCCCUAGGGCCUGCUUGAAUGGAGAGCAAGAACUAUAGGAGGAUGUGUAGCUGCAAAAAUUUCUCAUCAAUAACUCAAUCUUCAGAACGUUAUGACAUACAGAAAAUCAAAGAUGCUGUGUCUUAGCAUUGAGCAAUAUGGGUGGUGCUAUGUCUGUAGUCUGGUCAAAUUCAGUAACUGUUCAAAACAAAAUUUCCUCUGGAAUACUAUUGAGAAAAUCUGGCAUUUGCAAAAAGGGCAGAGUUUAAAUAUGAGUCAGUCUUUCCAAUCAACAAUACCUCUUUUAAGAAAACCAACUAAAAGCUGUUUGCAUGCCGUUGAAUCCUUGUGAGCAGUUAGGCCACAGUCUAGGACAGAAAGAUGACACGGGGAAGGACUGAGGGCCAUCUGAGAACAAAGGUUGUUGCUACUUCUCAGAGUCAUUGAGACACACUGCAUGCUGUAGACUGCUUUGUGUAGCUGUUAUCACAUCUUGCUUGAGAUGUCAUUGGCAGAAUGUUCUUGGAAAUAAAUUAUAGAUAAAUAGCCAUCAUGGAGUUUGCUGGUUUCUAGAUAGCAAAAGAGAAAAGAAGCAGUUCCGGCCUGGCACGGUGGCUCAUGCCUGUAAGCCCAGCACUUUGGGAGGCUGAGGUGAGUAGAUCACUUGAGGUCAGGAGCUCGAGACCAACCUGGCCAACAUGGUGAAACCCUGUCUCUAUUAAAAAUACAAAAAUUAGCUGGGCAUGGUGGCAUGCGCCUGUAAUCCCAGCUACUCAGGAGGCUGAGGCAGGAUAAUCACUUGAACUCAGGAGGUGGAGGUGGCAGUGAGCCGAGAUUUUGCCAAUGCACUCCAGCUGGGGCAACAGAGCGAGACUCUGUCUCAAAAAAAAAAAAAAAAAAAAAGAAAGAAAGAAAGAAAAAGAAAAAGAAAAAAGAAAAAAAAAGAAGCAGUUCCUCCUCUAAUGAAAACAUACAACAAGAUAGUUUGAAAUUCAUUUCUGGCCCUUAGAGAAGAAGUGUGCCAUGCUUGGAAGACUGGAUUUUUAUAACAGAGAUGGCAGCUACAGAAUAAGAGUUGUUGAUACUUGGGAUCUGAAGUAGAGAUCAUUUCUGCAUACUGUCCCUUUUCCACUCACUAUACAGUGAAAUGAGUAGUUGCUUAAUAUUAUAAAAUUAAUUUUCCCUGCCAAAGCAACAGUGAAAGCCAAACAAAAUACAAAUAACCUUCUCAAGCAGAAUUUAUGUAACAGUUCCCAGAGAAACAUGGAUACCCUUUUUUGUUAAUCAGCAUUUCAUUAAAGUUAUGUUGAGUUACUCUUAGAGAAAACAGACAAAAGAAAUUGCAGCAUAUGUAACAGUUAAAAGAAUUAAUAACUGCAAUAUGUAAAGAGUAACACUAGUUAAUUAGUAAAAACAAAUAACCAAUAAUACAUGGACAAAGAAUAAGAAAUUCACAGAAGAAAUACAGUUAUUAGUGAGAAGCAAUGGCUCACGCCUGUAAUUCCAGCACUUUGGGAGGCCGAGGUGGGCAGAUCACCUGAGGUCAGGAGUUCGAGACCAGUCUGGCCAACAUGGUGAAACCCUGUCUCUACUGGAAAAUACAAAAAUUAGCCAGGUGUGGUGGCGGACACCUGUAAUCCCAGCUACUCAGGAAGCUGAGGCAGGAGAAUCACUUGAACCUGGGAGGUAGAGGUUGCAGUGAGCCGAGAUCAGGCCAUUGCACUCCAGCUUGGGCGGGAAGAGUGAAACUCCAUCUCAAAAAAAAAAAAAAAAAAGAAAAGAAAAGAAAAGAAAUGCAGUUAUCUAAUUAAACACAUUAACAUUUGCUUAGCUUCUUCACUAGUGCUAAGAGGAAUUAAAGCAAUGAGAUAUGAUUUUUACAAAAAUGGGUAUGAUUUAAAAUCAGUUUUGUCUGAUAGUAUGUUCUGAUGAAACUGGGGGGAAACCAGCAUUCUCAUACAUGCUUGUUGGUGCAUAAACCAACAUGACUAUCUUCAUGGGCAUUUUGGCAAUAUCUAUUAAAGUGAGAAAUAUGCAUUCUCUAUGUCCUUGCACUUUCUCUUUUCCGUAUCUAUCUCAGAAAAAAAAAACAGCCUUAUGAAGUAAAUUUAGGGACACAGUGGAGCAGCUAGCACACAGGUAGAUGCAGAAGCAAACCUCUGCUUUGGGCCUUAGUGUCCAAGCCUGGAAAUAAAAGGGGUUUGAUUAUGUGAUCUGUAAAGUUUUCUUUAGUUCUAAAUAUUACGCAUCUCUUACAUGAAAUUCAGUAAUGAGUGGAUGAAAGCAUUUUAAGUAAUCUUCUACUAUUAACAAGUUCAGUGGUU